rnacentral:misc_RNA from 1 species
GACGAACCGUCCAAACGUUAUUCGGAAUUAUUGGGCUUAAAGGGUGCGUAGGCGGUGCGGAAAGUUGGGUGUGAAAUCCCUCGGCUCAACCGAGGAACUGCGCUCAAAACUACCGUGCUGGAGGAAGACAGAGGUGAGCGGAACUAAGGGUGGAGCGGUGAAAUGCGUUGAUAUCCUUAGGAACACCAGUGGCGAAAGCGGCUUACUGGGUCUCUUCUGACGCUGAGGCACGAGAGCUAGGGUAGCGAACGGG